GUGCUCGAUUUGGCAGCACUUACACUAAAAUUGGAAUAAUACAGGGAAGGAGAGUGUGGCCCCUUCACAAGGAUGACAUGCAAAUUUGUCAAGUGUUCUAUAUUAAA